rnacentral:rRNA from 1 species
UACGUAGGGUGCGAGCGUUGUCCGGAAUUACUGGGCGUAAAGAGCUCGUAGGCGGUUUGUCGCGUCGUCUGUGAAAUCCUCCAGCUUAACUGGGGGCGUGCAGGCGAUGCGGGCAGACUUGAGUACUACAGGGGAGACUGGAAUUCCUGGUGUAGCGGUGAAAUGCGCAGAUAUCAGGAGGAACACCGGUGGCGAAGGCGGGUCUCUGGGUAGUAACUGACGCUGAGGAGCGAAAGCAUGGGUAGCGAACAGGAUUAGAUA